UGUUAAGGAGAUGAUAAGUAAGAACCAUGCAGAUUUUCUAGAGGCUGCUUUCCCAAACUUCUCCAUAACAGGAAACAAAAAAUUUGCAUCUAAUGGAGCCGAAGCCAAUUAUGAAACUGCCAAAGCCACCUGCUCCAUGUUUGGGGGUCAGCUCGCCUCUCCGAGAAACGGGGAAGAAAACGCCGCUUUAGCAAAACUGGCGUCAAAACUUGGAAAACAUGCUUUUCUUGGGAUGACUGACCUGGAGAGAGAAGGCCAUUUUAAGCACCUCAACGGGGACCAAAUGCAAUACUCACGGUGGGCAAAAGGUGAACCUAAUGGAGAAGAAGAGGAUUGCAUAGAGUUAUACCUGGAUGGCCAGUGGAAUGAUGUGCCCUGCAAUAUAACUCGAUUAAUCGUCUGUGAGUUUCAAUCCAACCAUCCUCCUCUAAACUUGUCGGGGUAGCGAAAAACAGAUUUCCAAAAUCCAGGGCGUUCGCCUAUAACUUCAGAAGAUUUGCCUGGGCAACGGUCAAACAGAUGAACAAGCAUCAGAGCAAUUUUGUGUAAUUUAAUUCAGCUUGGGAAAGCUUACUCUGUUUAUCACAGAUACAGUCUAGCAUAUAGCAAGUAAGUCUUAGUUUCCCCUGUUUUCAGCAAGCAGAUCUGAAGUCAACUUUAUUCUGUUGACUUCGUUCCAACAGAAGUUGGCUUCUUCUAGCAUCUUGGAAUCCUCAGUCCUCCACUGAAGUAGUCAGCAGAUUUGAGGGUGCUUAGCUUUUACGAUCCAUCAUCAGAUAGAUGUUGCCAUAUCUUCCAAGUCUUCUCCAGCUUAGCUUAGCUAGCAAAACUUGCCACGGAAAUGUAACAGCUUUAUAGAUCCAUUUCCCGCCAUUUUAUCAAUAAAUCCAUUUCCCAGCAGCA